UGGACGUAACAGGGAGAGUUAGCUAAAACCGCAUAUAAGUGCCCACCCGAGACCACUUGCGUAUGAAGCCAGCAAUGAGCUACGUCGGCGUGAAAAUUUAUCCAAGUUCACAGAGUGGAGCUACCUCAGAGAAGAAAAUAGCAAGUCCUCGGCACGAUGAAUUCACUCGGUGUUUUCCUGCUGGUUUCUUCGGCUGUGAUCGCGACAGCAUUCCCAAGACACCGCAGUGCUGUUUACUUGAGCGCGCAGCAACAAGCUAAUCCGGAAAGAGAAAUGCCCACGCUGCCACCAAUUUUUCGCAAUGCGCCAGAUUGGCUGCCAGGGUUUGGAGGACCGCCACCACCAUUUCCCCCUUUCAAUGUCACGGAUGUCAAAAUGCAAAUACCCGAAUUGAUCCCGUCACUUCCAUUUCCGCCCAACUUCGCGGCUAACAGCGAACAACUUCCAUCGAUGCCCAGAUUUCCACCCGUUCCGCCUUUCCAGAAUACUGGCGACAACCAACAUGGAGGGUGGCAAUCGCCGCCGCCAUGGCCACCUGCGCCUGGUAAUGGGGGUGACAACCAAAGCUGGCCAGGAAUGCGAAGCCCACCACCACGGUUUCCUUUAAACUUCAGCCAAAACAUACAGAAAGGUGAAACUGGUUUUUCUUGGCCACCACCUCUCCAUUCCGAAACAAAUGCGGGCCGCAAUCAAAAUUACAUACCUGGAUUUGGAAGCCCACUUCCCUUCCAGAAUGGUGGAGGCCGUGGAAACGAACGGCCCAAUUUUAUGAGAUCGCCGCCACCGUUUCUCAGGAGUACCGAUAACAGCAGUCGAGCCUCCCUAAGCGAUCUUGGAAGUCGACCACCGCUUUCAUUUAUUAAUAGCGAUGGAAACAACCAAAAUGGGAAAUCUGAAUAUGAGGAUGGAACAUCACUCCGUGCGCAAGGUGAUACUGAAGAAAGUGAAGGAGACGAGCAGACAUGGAUGGCCGCAGGAGAACAGCGGUAAAGACAACACCAAUUGUCGGGAAAUAAAGUACUGUCCACACA